UUUUCGUUGUUUUGAUUUUUUGGUUGUUAGUGAUAUCGCGAUUCUCGGGUUUUUUAAUUAUUUGACAAUAAAUACCAAAAGUUCCGAAGUAAUUGUUCGGUCGCCAUAUUAUUUACUUUUCUAACAUGAUGAUGGACGAACAGGAAAGGCUCUUAAAGUUUCAAAUAGAGCCAACAGAUUUCCACAGGCUAUAGUGGAAGGAAAUACCACAGAACUGUUGGAUCAGUUCUCAUAGUACAAAUGUACCAGCUGUCUUCUGAUGAACUACCCAGUUUGAUGAGGCAAUAGCAACAUAUAUAGUUUGUUGGAAGCAAUGGCAGCGAUUAAAGAUGACAUUUUAGAUGGCAAAAAAACGUUAUGACACUCUUUCAAAGCUUGAUAAAGCUAUUUUAGUUCACCCAAAUAUCAAUUCUUACUGUGAGAGAACAUUUUCAAUUAUAAAGAAAUUCACUCUGAAUUCUGAUCAGAACUUGACAAUGAUAUAUUGUGUGCUUAUCAAGUAAAUGUAACCAAACUGGCAGUUGUUUUGAAUAUGUGCCUAAUGGUGUUGAUUUAAAAGCAGCAAAACAGACCACUGUUGAAUACAAUAAAAGUUUACAGUUGAA